rnacentral:rRNA from 1 species
AUGGACAUCGGCAACUCCUCUUCCUCCGGCGAUCUCACCAGCACCACUGCUCCUCCGCCGCCGCCGGUUCUCCCCUCCUCUGGGCUCCUCACCCCUUUCGCUUCCGCCCCGCUCACAACCCCUUCCGCCGCCAUGACUACGCUGCCUCUUGCACCACCACCCACCCUUCCCGUCGCGGCUCCCUCAUCUUCCUCCGCCAUCCCCUCCAUCCACAACCUCAAUAACAUCGGCAGCCUCAUCACCUUCAAGCUGGAUGUCCAAUCCGGCAGCUACUCCAAGUGGCGCGAACUCUGGCGCUGCAUCCUCACCAUGUACUCCGUCGCCAGCCACGUCGACCACUACUCCAACCCCGACCAGCAGACCCCGGCAUGGCGCCACGCAGACUUGACCCUCCUUCUGCUCCUCUACUCCACCAUCACCGACGCCCUGUACGAGGUCGUUCGCGGCGAGGACAACACCGCCUAUCGCGUCUGGAGCCAACUCCGUGACUUCUUCCUCGCCAACCAGCCCGCCCAAGCCGUGCAUCUCAGCGCCGAAUUCCGUGCGCUCACCCAAGGCGAUCUGCGGGUCGCGAAAUAUUGCGGGCGGCUCAAGGCGCUGGCGGACGCCCUGGCGGACGUCGACGAGCCCGUCAAGGACAGGACCCUGACGCUGCAGCUCUUGCGUGGACUCUCCCGCCGAUACCAGGUGAUCGCCACCGUACUUCCGAUGCAAACCCCGUUCCCUACCUUCAAUCAGGCCCGCUCGCGGCUUCUUCUUGAGGAGCUCACUCAGGACGCCUUGGACCGCUCCGACGGUUCCUCCGCCCUCUCCAUCGGCCUUGGCGGUGGCGGUUCCUCUUCCUCCAGCGACCGCGGCCCCUCCAGCACCGACCGCGGCAAGGCCCCCAUGGAGCGCGGGGGCAGCAGUGGCUCGGGCGGUGGGCAUCCCGACCACGGACGUGGGCGUGGCCGUGGCCGUGGCCGUGGCCGUGGCCGCGGCCGUGGUCACCCUGGCGGGCGUGGGCACGCCGCACCUCCAGCCGGCGCCGGCCAAACUCCUUGGCUGGGGUACUUCGCCCCGUGGGGGGCACCCUUCCCGCCGCCGGCUCGCGCGCCGUGGGUUCCUCCCAACGCCGCGGGCGUACUCGGCCCUCGUCCCACCGCUCCGCACCAGGCGUACCCCCUGAUGUACGCUGGGCCGUCCGCGCCUCCGUCGCAUCCGCCGUCGUGGGAUCCAGCCGCGCUCUACUCCGCCCUCAACCAGAUGACCCUCCAGCAGCCCGGCGCCACCGACUGGUACCUCGACACCGGGGCCUCCGCACAUGUCACCGGUAACGCAGGACCUGGCAACGCGGACCCCCCUAAUGAGGCGCAAUAG